CGUUUUGGCUCCAAGGCAGAAGAGGGAUGGGGAUUAAGUGACUUGCCCAGGGUCACGCAGCCAGGAAGCGUCCGAGCUCCGAUUCCGAUCCCGGGUGUCCUGAGCGGCAGAGAUCCCAAGCUGGGUGGAGCACAUGGGAUACUCGCCCCAGUGAGAAGGCAUCUCCCAGGCGAGGGUGGCAGCGGCCGUAGGAUCCUAGCAGCGGCGGCCAGGGGGGCAGCUGAGGGAAUGGCCCGCCAGGGUAGUUGGUAUUUUGUGGGAGGAAUUUCACUGUUGAGGGGAAUAAAGUGUCCUCUUAAGACCUGUGAGAAAGUUUUCCGGGCAAAGCCGUGAGCGGGCUCUUGUCCACGUCCGCUUUCACUCUCCAGUCGAGUCUCCGAGGAAAGGCACGUUUCCCCUCGGGCUUCAGGGGUUCCUCUGGGGAGUCACGGCUGAUCCCGUCACGUCAUUCGUUGGCUCGAGCCUCCGCUUGCGGGUUUCUCUCCGCGCUGAGCCAGCCCGGCGUAGCGUCGGGAAGAGGAACGUGUCCCAGCGUCCGAGAACGUAGCGAAGCAGAUCCGAAGCGGACAAGGACCGCUGACCCGGGACCGAGGAAGAGACGGCCAUUACCGGCGAGGGAGAUCCGGGCCCCCAGCGCCGCGCACGGUCCUCGAUGCUGUCUGAAGGGAGAGACGGCCGUGGCGGGGGCAGCAAAUAGUCCUCCUGGAGAUUCCCCCCGAGAGGCACCACGACAGGAACUUGGCCCAGCGUUAGCCGCAAAGACGUGUGUCUUCCCUGGGGCCUCCCCAGGUGUGUCACCUCGGAGGCGUGCGGGGACGCCCGGGAGGCUGAAUGAGGCGCCAGAAGAAAGCCGAGGAAGCACGGCUAGAGGCUGGGAAGUUCAAGGCGAGACACGGAAGACCGAGAGGGCGCGUGAGGGGCUUGGACCACAAAUGCUGACGGAAGCCAAAGAUGCCGGAAGAGGCAGCAGGCUGUGAGACAAAGGAAACAAGCAAAACUGAGCAUCACACGGAAAACAGAGUGGAGGAGGGGUGACCGAGAAACGUAUUCUGUGGCACUCUGUACAAUCUGCGUCAUAUGGCCUUUCUGGGGAGGGAGGGAAACAAAGAGAAUGAGACAUGGAUCUUUUGGACAUAGCUAAGGUGAGAAUUUAUUCCUAUUGGAUAAGCACAUUCGUUAUAAUUUAUUACAUAUUUAUAACAAAUCACAGGUAUAAUAUUGUUAUGUACAUAUUAUAUUAUAUAUGAAAAUAAAUGAAACAAAAACAUGGGCA
rnacentral:lncRNA from 1 species